rnacentral:snoRNA from 1 species
AAUUAUACCUAAUAAAACUGAAAAAGGAAAAAAAAAAGAAAAGGAGCGAAGAGUGACAGUUUUCCUGGGUGGUUGCUGUUCUGUUUGCUGUAACCAAUCUGCAACAUUUCAGAAAAAGACAGUU